UCGAACGGCAGCACGGGAGCUUGCUCCUGGUGGCGAGUGGCGAACGGGUGAGUAAUACAUCGGAACGUACCCAGUAGUGGGGGAUAACGCACCGAAAGGUGCGCUAAUACCGCAUACGACCUAAGGGUGAAAGCGGGGGACCGUAAGGCCUCGCGCUAUUGGAGCGGCCGAUGUCUGAUUAGCUAGUUGGUGAGGUAAAGGCUCACCAAGGCUUCGAUCAGUAGCUGGUCUGAGAGGACGAUCAGCCACACUGGGACUGAGACACGGCCCAGACUCCUACGGGAGGCAGCAGUGGGGAAUUUUGGACAAUGGGCGAAAGCCUGAUCCAGCAAUGCCGCGUGUGCGGAGAAGGCCUUCGGGUUGUAAAGCACUUUUGUCAGGGAAGAAAUCUUUUAGGCUAAUACCUUGGAAGGAUGACGGUACCUGAAGAAUAAGCACCGGCUAACUACGUGCCAGCAGCCGCGGUAAUACGUAGGGUGCAAGCGUUAAUCGGAAUUACUGGGCGUAAAGCGUGCGCAGGCGGUUUGUUAAGACAGUCGUGAGAUCCCCGGGCUUAACCUGGGAACUGCGAUUGUGACUGGCAAGCUAGAGUACGGCAGAGGGGGGUGGAAUUCCUGGUGUAGCAGUGAAAUGCGUAGAGAUCAGGAGGAACACCGAUGGCGAAGGCAGCCCCCUGGGCUAGUACUGACGCUCAUGCACGAAAGCGUGGGGAGCAAACAGAUUAGAUACCCUGGUAGUCCACGCCCUAAACGAUGCCAAUUAGUUGUUGGUUCUUUAUUGAAUCAGUAACGAAGCUAACGCGUGAAAUUGACCGCCUGGGGAGUACGGUCGCAAGAUUAAAACUCAAAGGAAUUGACGGGGACCCGCACAAGCGGNGGAUGAUGUGGAUUAAUUCGAUGCAACGCGAAAAACCUUACCUACCCUUGACAUGUUCGGAAUUCUGCANANAUGCGNAAGUGCUCGAAAGANNA
rnacentral:rRNA from 1 species